rnacentral:rRNA from 1 species
UCCAGACUCCUACGGGAGGCAGCAGUGGGGGAUAUUGCACAAUGGGGGAAACCCUGAUGCAGCGACGCCGCGUGGGUGAAGAAGUAUUUCGGUAUGUAAAGCCCUAUCAGCAGGGAGGAAAGAAGACGGUACCUGACUAAGAAGCCCCGGCUAACUACGUGCCAGCAGCCGCGGUAAUACGUAGGGGGCGAGCGUUAUCCGGAUUCACUGGGUGUAAAGGGAGCGUAGACGGCCGUGCAAGCCAGGAGUGAAAGCCCGGGGCCCAACCCCGGGACUGCUCUUGGAACUGUGCGGCUGGAGUGCGGGAGGGGCAGGCGGAAUUCCUGGUGUAGCGGUGAAAUGCGUAGAUAUCAGGAGGAACACCGGCGGCGAAGGCGGCCUGCUGGACCGCGACUGACGUUGAGGCUCGAAAGCGUGGGGAGCGAACAGGAUUAGAUACCCCGGUAGA